AUUGAACGCUGGCGGCAUGCUUUACACAUGCAAGUCGAACGAGUGGCGAACGGGUGAGUAAUGCAUCGGAACGUACCCAGUAAUGGGGGAUAACUAUCCGAAAGGACAGCUAAUACCGCAUAUUAUUCGAGCGGCCGAUGUCUGAUUAGCUGGUUGGUGGGGUAAAGGCCCACCAAGGCGACGAUCCGUAGCGGGUCUGAGAGGAUGAGCCGCCACACUGGGACUGAGACACGGCCCAGAGUCCUACGGGAGGCAGCAGUGGGGAAUUGUGGACAAUGGGGGCAAGCCUGAUCCAGCCAUGCCGCGUGUAUGAUGAAGGCCUUCGGGUUGUAAAGGACUUUUGUCAGGGAAGCGGUACCUGAAGAAUAAGCACCGGCUAACUACGUGCCAGCCGCCGCGGUAAUUC
rnacentral:rRNA from 1 species